CACCUGAUGGCACAAGGUGUGCAUCUGCAGGAUGUGACCGAGAAACUCAUGAAUUUAUGCAGAAGGGCCCUGUUCGAUUCGGGGUCGGGUGA